UACGUAGGGACCAAGCGUUGUUCGGAUUUACUGGGCGUAAAGGGCGCGUAGGCGGCAAUUCAAGUCAGCUGUGAAAUCUCCGGGCUUAACUCGGAACGGUCAGCUGAUACUGCUUUGCUAGAGUGCAGAAAGGGCAAUCGGAAUUCUUGGUGUAGCGGUGAAAUGCGUAGAUAUCAAGAGGAACACCUGAGGCGAAGGCGGGUUGCUGGGCUGACACUGACGCUGAGGCGCGAAAGCUAGGGUAGCAAACGGG
rnacentral:rRNA from 1 species